UACGUAGGGAGCAAGCGUUGUCCGGAAUCAUUGGGCGUAAAGCGCGCGUAGGUGGCCUCAUAAGUCCGCUGUGAAAGUCAAAGGCUCAACCUUUGAAAGCCGGUGGAUACUGCGAGGCUAGAGUACGGAAGAGGCGAGUGGAAUUCCUGGUGUAGCGGUGGAAUGCGCAGAUAUCGGGAGGAACACCAAUGGCGAAGGCAGCUCGCUGGGACGGUACUGACGCUGAGGAGCGAAAGCGUGGGGAGCGAACAGG
rnacentral:rRNA from 1 species